UGUUGCAGCGGAGCUACCAUGCAGUCGAGCGGUAGCACAGAGAAGCUUGCUUCUUGGGUGACGAGCGGCGGACGGGUGAGUAAUGCAUAGGAAUCUGCCCGAUAGUGGGGGAUAACCUGGGGAAACCCAGGCUAAUACCGCAUACGUCCUACGGGAGAAAGGGGGCUCCGGCUCCCGCUAUUGGAUGAGCCUAUGUCGGAUUAGCUAGUUGGUGAGGUAAAGGCUCACCAAGGCAACGAUCCGUAGCUGGUCUGAGAGGAUGAUCAGCCACAUCGGGACUGAGACACGGCCCGAACUCCUACGGGAGGCAGCAGUGGGGAAUAUUGGACAAUGGGCGCAAGCCUGAUCCAGCCAUGCCGCGUGUGUGAAGAAGGCCCUCGGGUUGUAAAGCACUUUCAGCGAGGAAGAACGCCUAGCGGUUAAUACCCGCUAGGAAAGACAUCACUCGCAGAAGAAGCACCGGCUAACUCCGUGCCAGCAGCCGCGGUAAUACGGAGGGUGCAAGCGUUAAUCGGAAAAA
rnacentral:rRNA from 1 species